AAUGCCAUGUUCCUUCUGCAGCUAAAAUGGAGUAGCCCGAAGAAAUGAAGUUUAAAUCAUCUUUAUUAUCCUGCACAAUUCCUCAGAUUAUCACACCCAUUAUGGCUGAAGUGCACUUGCAAAACCAUUUAGAAAUGAUACUAUAGGAGAAUCACCGACUCUUUCUAGAGAAUGUUGCUGAUGUGGCAGCUAACAAUACAUUAUGACUCAACACGGUACCACACAGAUGACUCAACAGAUCUGCUAAGGCGACUGCCAGUUCAUCAAGAACCAGCUGUGCUGUAACUCUCUUGAAGUCUCUGGACUGCACACAUUUCUGCGAUGUCUGCAGCUGAGACUCCACAAGCAGAGACUGCUGAAGUUUGAAGAUAACAGUAAAAGCCUGACACACAGGUUUUAGGAUUGGUUGGUUGGUUCCCUCUUUAAAAACUGGAACAUCUAAAAUAUUAAAUAUAAGUGCUUUCCAAGAUAUUUCCAGCAUCAAGUCCUUUGUUUCUCUCUCAGCCCCUGCCAUGAUUAGACUGGGGGUGAACAAUUGGUUGGGAGGAAGCACAACUGGGCAGAUGGCCUGAACUCACCAAAGACAUAUUCCAUACCACACAGCAUCCUAAUGAGCAAUAAAAGGGAAAAGAGAGAGGUUUAGGAUGAUCUUUUGCUCAGGAACUGUCUGUGCAAGAGUCUACCCAUAGACUGGACAAGCCCAGAGCCUGCAGCUGCUCCUCACAGGACAUUCUUUCCAGCCCCUCAUCACCAGCUUUGUUGGCCGCCUCUGGAGGCAUUGAAGGACCUUCAUAUUUUACUUAAAUUGAGUGCCAGAACUGCAGAGUGUUUGAGGGCUGACACUGCAAAAAGCUAUGGAUGAUCAGAGAAUCACAUCAGUGUUUCAUCUAUGCACUUCAAGAAAUGAAGAAAGAAUACAAGAGCAAACAACCUCACAAAAUAUGAUAAUGAAUGCGCUGCCCACCCUUCUCUGUCAGCAUUCUGAUCUUCCAAGGCAGAAACCUCCAAACACCCCUUUCAAUACUGCAGAGGAAACAAACUCAAGAUAACCCACAAGUAAAUAACCUUUCUUACCUCUCCUGUCAGAUUUGCUCAGAUAUUUUCAGCAGGUGGGCUCCUAGCAGUUAGGUUAAGGGUAGGUAUAAUUGUUUGUUUUAGGAGAGCAAAUAUGACAAAGAAUGUGUUUUUAAGAUGAGACUUUCAUGGAUCAUAUUAUCUUGGGACCUUACUGAAACAGUAAAGCUUUUGGGGUUAUUCUAAAUUGGCCUUUAGCCUUCCAAAGUAUUUGCAAUAUCAGAAUUUUUUUGUUGUCGUUUGUUUUACUCAUUAAGAACCCAUAGACCUGUGUUUUUCCAAGGGAAUGGAAUGUACUUUUAAAUUUGAAAUUAUGAAACUACAUUUUGCCCCUCAGCAGGGUUUCUCAUUUUUGUGUCAUGUUUAAUUUUGCGAAGUUUGCCAGAGUGGCUUGUUUUAAGACCUUGAAUGUCCUGUCCAAGCAAUCUGAAAAAAAUCAACUAAGAUUAAAAUUCUCUUGGUGAAAUAUUGAUGCACAAAUUCUCAAGGAAAUUAGAAACUCAGUUUUGUCAAUCUAAUAUUUAAUUCUUUCUCAUGUUUUGUUAAUAAACAAGAACCAGAAAUAAGAAGAGAGAAACUGCAGCAGCUUUUAUUAUUCCACAGGCACUCUACUCAGUGUAGCAGAAAUGAUGUACCCACUCUGAAAUAUUUAGUGUCAAAGCUUGUGUGAUGUGUGUCUCUUAUUUGGAGAACACACAGAACUAGUACUGAUUCUGCUUCUGAACUGUGGUUUCUGGGUAGUUUGGAACACUUGUGAGUUUACAGAAAAUUACAGGUGUCACCUCCUUGACACCUUCCACAGUUCUUAAUAUUUAUGUUAAAUUUUGGUGCCUGGUCAAAGAAUCCUCCUGAGAGAAUUGUUUAAAGUCUUUUUACUGUUAGUCAAGAGAUAUGGUCAUCUUUGGCAGCUUUUGUUUCCUUGCUCAAGUUGAGCUUUCUAGGCUAAUAAGGAAAUUUUAGGUUUUAUAAACACUCUCCUAUAAAUAUCACAACAUGAUUUUUAUCAUUACUGAAGCAUUAAUUUAAAGUAUGCUUACAAGUAGAUUUGGAAAUCAACAAGGCAUACACUACAUAGAUAUAUAUACAUAUAUGUGAUAUUUAGAAUCCACUUUCAAUUUCAUAAAUUGCCAGUCCCUACAACCAUUUAGUUCCCAAUAUGGGCCAAACCUUAGUAAUGCUGAUUAUUUAUUUUGCAAAGGUAAGAACACUGUCACCUUUGUAUCUCAAGGCCAUCUUUACUUGGUAUUGCUUUAAAAAUCCAUCAAAACACCAUAAAAAUGAAAAGCAAUAUAUAAAGUAAUUUCAGCUAGCCAAGUCCAAGCCACAUCAUUUGGAAGCUUUCUACAGAAGGAUGAGAAUUUCUAGAAGAAUAAAUAGGUAGCUAAAACAAAUGUCAUUAAUCUUGUUCCAGGGCUACAUCUGUUUUACCAUGUUCCAUAGG